rnacentral:rRNA from 1 species
GCCAACGGCCAUACCAUGUUGAGUACACCGGUUCUCGUCCGAUCACCGAAGUUAAGCAACAUCGGGCGUGGUUAGUACUUGGAUGGGUGACCACCUGGGAAACACCACGUGCUGUUGGCU